AAUACAUUAAAUAAUUUAAAAAAAUACCGAGUGUGUGACGGGGGGGGGGGAGGAGGCGUGUCACGCCCCCCCUAGCAGGUCCCACGGGUGCUCCUCUGUGUUUGGCAGUAAUUGGACUGUUACUCUUGAGGGGCGUCGCCAUGGCAACGGCGUGUAAAACACACACACACACACCACGACCAGGCGGCUAUAAAAGGAGUUUCGGGACGUCAGAAACUCGCACAGUCGCCACAGAAGCACUGUUGUCGUCGACGUCGCCGCCGCCGCCAUGACACACGGAAGUAGCAGACGCCGGGCGGAAGCAGCAGCACACGACCACGGCCGAGAGCGGCGGCGCCAACACAGCGAGAACGGGGCGUUCGCCGAGCUGCGCCGCCUCAUUCCCACGCACCCACCCGACCGGAAGCUGAGCAAGAACGAGACGCUGCGCCUCGCGCUGCGCUACAUCCACUUCCUGGACCGCCUUCUGGAAUAGCGCCGGGCCCUCUGCAGUGGGCGGAGCUUGGCAGCCCCUCCCCUACCUGGACACUCGCGGUCACGUGACCAGCUUUAAAUAGUGUGUGAUAUUCACACGGACGUCAAUGUUUGGUUCUAUUCAGGAUCUUCCGUAACCAGAUUUGCUUCCUUUCACAAUAAAAGGAACCCUUGGUGCUUUGA